AGACUAGUGGUCAAUCUGGCCAACAAGAGCCUAGUUUGACCCAAGCGCUUUGUCAAAUGACUCGGGUCCUACAAACUUUGGACCAAAAUAGUCAUGCAAGUACUGUACGGCUGGAUGCCGUUUUGGCCGCAAUCACGGCCUCUAACGAGAACAUAGCCUGAAUAGGGCAAUUAUUAGCUCGAAAUGAACAGCCGAUAGCAGGCCUACAAGCGCCUGCGAUAACGCCAGCGUUACAGAAUCCAGUAACACCGGUAGUUGGGCAGCCCCAAUACCAGGGGGCACAGUAUCAAGCGGCUUAUAGACCGGCUGUUGGUAAUGCCGGUCAACAGCCGGAAGUGGCUUGGGGGUUACCUCCACCCCCUCCAGUUGCAGCCUACCAGGCCCAAAAUGUAGGGGCUAGGGGGCAG
rnacentral:lncRNA from 1 species